GAUGAACGCUGGCGGCGUGCCUAAUACAUGCAAGUCGAGCGAACAGAUGAGGAGCUUGCUCCUCUGACGUUAGCGGCGGACGGGUGAGUAACACGUGUAUAACCUACCUAUAAGACUGGGAUAACUUCGGGAAACCGGAGCUAAUACCGGAUAAUAUAUUGAACCGCAUUGUUCAAUAGUGAAAGACGGUUUUGCUGUCACUUAUAGAUGGAUCCGCGCCGCUUUAGCUAGUUGGUAAGGUAACGGCUUACCAAGGCGACGAUGCGUAGCCGACCUGAGAGGGGGAUCGGCCACACUGGAACUGAGACACGGUCCAGACUCCUACGGGAGGCAGCAGUAGGGAAUCUUCCGCAAUGGGCGAAAGCCUGACGGAGCAACGCCGCGUGAGUGAUGAAGGUCUUCGGAUCGUAAAACUCUGUUAUUAGGGAAGAACAAAUGUGUAAGUAACUAUGCACGUCUUGACGGUACCUAAUCAGAAAGCCACGGCUAACUACGUG
rnacentral:rRNA from 1 species